rnacentral:miRNA from 1 species
AGGUUGGUGCAAAAGUAAUUGCCGUUUCUGCAAUGAAAAAGUGACAAAAACCACAAUUACUUUUGCACCA